CAAGUUGCGUAGUGGACCGCUUGGGGUCUAUACGAAAGCUGGGCCUCAUGGUCCAUAAUGUGGUAGGCACAGCGUGAGGCUGGCUUCAUAGAGCAGCGACAACUGCCCGCGUCCAACGGUGGAAGGAUAACGGGCGGCUGCACUCCUAGGCCGCUUGGGCCUUGUAGCCUACUCCAGCGAACCAUCACUUUU
rnacentral:SRP_RNA from 1 species